rnacentral:rRNA from 1 species
AACGAACGCUGGCGGCAGGCCUAACACAUGCAAGUCGAGCGAAGCCUUCGGGCUUAGCGGCGGACGGGUGAGUAACGCGUGGGAACGUGCCCUUUGGUACGGAAUAGCCCCGGGAAACUGGGAGUAAUACCGUAUGUGGUCGAGAGACGAAAGAUUUAUCGCCAAAGGAUCGGCACGCGUUGGAUUAGGUAGUUGGUGGGGUAAUGGCCUACCAAGCCGACGAUCCAUAGCUGGGUUGAGAGGAUGAUCAGCGACACUGGGACUGAUACACGGCCCAGACUCCUACGGGAGGCAGCAGUGUGGAAUCUUAGACAAUGGGGGAAACCCUGAUCUAGCCAUGCCGCGUGAUCGAUGAAGGCCUUAGGGUUGUAAAGAUCUUUCAGUGGGGAAGAUAAUGACUGUACCCACAGAAGAAGCCCCGGCUAACUCCGUGCCAGCAGCCGCGGUAACAC